GACGAACCAUCCAAACGUUAUUCGGAAUCACUGGGCUUAAAGGGUGCGUAGGCGGUCUAGUAAGUUGGGUGUGAAAGCCCUCGGCUCAACCGAGGAAUUGCGCCCAAAACUGCUGGACUUGAGUGAGACAGAGGUGAGCGGAACUUAGGGUGGAGCGGUGAAAUGCGUUGAUAUCCUAAGGAACACCAGGGGCGAAAGCGGCUCACUGGGUCUUGUCUGACGCUGAGGCACGAAAGCUAGGGGAG
rnacentral:rRNA from 1 species